GGGGGGGGGAGGGGGACCCUCAGCCUGGAUUGCGAGAGGGCACAGGCCAGGCCGAGGGACCCCACUGGUGCAAG
rnacentral:pre_miRNA from 1 species